rnacentral:tRNA from 1 species
GGUUUGUGGCUGAGUGGUAGAGCGCUCGUCUAUCACGUGCGAGGACCUGGGUUCGAUCCUCAGCACCA